CCCCAACCCUGGUCCUCCAAUAACCCCUCCCCUUGCACUCCAAUACCAUCAACCCUUGCACUCCAAUACCCCCAACCUUGGUCCUCCGGUAUCUACAACCCUGGUCCUUCAGUCCUCCAGUUCCCCCAACCCUGGUCCUCCAGUACCCCCAACCCUGGUCCUCCAGUACCCCCAACCCUGGCCCUCCAAUACCCCCAACCCUGGUCCUCAGGUUACCCCCAACCCUGGUCCUCCAGUACCCCCAACCCUGGUCCUCCAGUAUCCCCAACCCUGGUCCUCCAGUAUCCCCAACCCUGGUCCUCCAGUACCCCCAACCCUGGUCCUCCAGUACCCCCAACCCUGGUCCUCCAGUACCCCCAACCCUGGUCCUCCAGUACCCCCAACCCUGGCCCUCCAAUACCCCCAACCCUGGUCCUCAGGUUACCCCCAAACCUGGUCCUCCAGUAUCCCCAACCCUGGUCCUCCAGUACCCCCAACCCUGGUCCUCCAGUACCCCCAACCCUGGUCCUCCAGUACCCCCAACCCUGGUCCUCCAGUACCCCCAACCCUGGUCCUCCAGGACCCACAACCCUGGUCCUCCAGUACCCCCAACCCUGGUCCUCCAGUACUCCCAACCCUGGUCCUCCAGUACUCCCAACCCUGGUCCUCCAGUACCCCCAACCCUGGUCCUCCAGUACCCCCAACCCUGAUCCUCCAGUACCCCCAACCCUGGUCCUCCAGGACCCACAACCCUGGUCCUCCUGUACCCCCAACCCUGGUCCUCCAGUACUCCCAACCCUGGUCCUCCAGUACUCCCAACCCUGGUCCUCCAGUACCCCCAACCCUGGUCCUCCAGUACCCCCAACCCUGGUCCUCCAGUACCCCCAACCCUGGUCCUCCAGUACCCACAACCCUGGUCCUCCAGUACCCCCAACCCUGGUCCUCCAGUACUCCCAACCCUGGUCCUCCAGUACUCCCAACCCUGGUCCUCCAGUACCCCCAACCCUGGUCCUCCAGUCCCCCCAACCCUGGUCCUCCAGUACCCCCAACCCUGGUCCUCUAGUACCCCCAACCCUGGUCCUCAGGUUACCCCCAACCCUGGUCCUCCAGUACCCCCAACCCUGGUCCUCCAGUACCCCCAACCCUGGUCCUCCUGUACCCCCAACCCUGGUCCUCCAGUGCCCCCAACCCUGGUCCUCCAGUACCCCCAACCUUGGUCCUCCAGUAUCCCCAACCCUGAUCCUCCAGUAUCCCCAACCCUGGUCCUCCAGUUCCCCCAACCCUGGUCCUCCAGUACCCCCAACCCUGGUCCUCCAGUACCCCCAACCCUGGUCCUCCAGUACCCCCAACCCUGGCCCUCCAAUACCCCCAACCCUGGUCCUCAGGUUACCCCCAACCCUGGUCCUCCAGUACCCCCAACCCUGGUCCUCCAGUAUCCCCAAGCCUGGUCCUCCAGUAUCCCCAACCCUGGUCCUCCAGUACCCCCAACCCUGGUCCUCCAGUACCCCCAACCCUGGUCCUCCAGUACUCCCAACCCUGGUCCUCCAGUACCCCCAACCCUGGUCCUCCAGUACCCCCAACCCUGGUCCUCCAGUACCCACAACCCUGGUCCUCCAGUACCCCCAACCCUGGUCCUCCAGUACCGCCAACCCUGGUCCUCCAGUAUCCCCAACCCUGGUCCUCCAGUACCCCCAACCCUGGUCCUCCAGUACCCCCAACGCUGGUCCUCCAAUACCCCCAACCCUAGUUGACAAGUUGAAUCAGGUAUGUUUGUCCAGGGCUACAGUAAAAAUUAUAAAACUGUUAUUUUGUUCGACUUCAGUGCAGCUUUUGACUUUAAUCGAUCAUAGACUGCUGAAUGAAAUACAUAUGUGUUAUGGCUUUACAUCCCCUGCUAUAUUGUGGAUAAAGAAUUACCUGUCUAACAGAACACAGAGGGUGUUCUUUAAUGGAAGCCUCUCCAACAUAAUCCAGGUGGAAUCAGGAAUUCCCCAGGGCAGCUGU
ensembl:lncRNA